rnacentral:rRNA from 1 species
AUUGAACGCUGGCGGCAGGCCUAACACAUGCAAGUCGAACGAGGGGCGGACGGGAGAGUAAUGUCUGGGAAACUGCCUGAUGGAGGGGGAUAACUACUGGAAACGGUUGCUAAUACCGCAUACCAUCGGAUGUGCCCAGAUGGGAUUAGAUAGUAGGUGGGGUAAAGGGUCACCUAGGCGACGAUCCCUAGCUGGUCUGCGAGGAUGACAGGCUAAACUGGAACAGAGACACGGGCAAGACGCCUAGGGGAGGAAGCGGUGGGGAAGCUUGCACAAUGGGAGCAAGCCCGAUGGAGCCAUGCCGCGUGUAUGCAGAAGGCCUUAAGGUUGUAAAGUUCUUUCAGUGGGGAGGCGUUACCCGCAGAAGAAGCGCCGGCUAACUCCGUGCCAGCAGCCGCGGUAAUUC